rnacentral:sRNA from 1 species
GCUGGUGUAAAUCCACCAGCCGGGCGUGAGAACCUGUUUAAUGAGCAAAAGGCGACACAGACGCGCCCAGCGUCUUUUUU